AUUAAAUAGAGUUUGAUCCUGGCUCAGAAUAAAUGCUAUUGGUAUGCUUAACACAUGCAAGUUGAAUGUUUAAUUUUUAAACAUAGCGAACGGGUGAGUAACGCGUGAAUUAUCUACCUUUUAAUUCAGGAUAAUUAUUUUAUAUAAAAAUACUGAAUAAUUUUAAUAAAGUUUUAAUAACGUUAAAAGAUGAGUUUGCGUAAGAUUAGGUAGUUGGUAGUUUAAAAGACUACCAAGCCGACUAUCUUUAGCUGGUUUGAAAGAAUGAUCAGCCACAUUGGGACUGAGACACGGCCCAAACUUUUUUAAAGGCAGCAGUGGGGAAUUUUGGACAAUGAGCGAAAGCUUGAUCCAGCAAUACCAAGUGAGUGAAGAAGGCUAAUUAGGUUGUAAAGCUCUUUCAUUAAGGAGGAAAAUGACAGUACUUAAAAAAGAAGUUCCGGCUAA
rnacentral:ncRNA from 1 species